rnacentral:rRNA from 1 species
UACGGGGGGGGCAAGCGUUGUUCGGAAUUACUGGGCGUAAAGGGCUCGUAGGCGGCCAACUAAGUCGGAUGUGAAAUCCCCAGGCUCAACCUGGGAACUGCAUCCGAUACUGGAUGGCUUGAAUCCGGGAGAGGGAUGCAGAAUUCCAGGUGUAGCGGUGAAAUGCGUAGAGAUCCGGAGGAACACCAAAGGCGAAGGCAGUGUCCUGGGGAGUACCUGACGCUCAGGUGCGAAAGCCAGGGGAGCGAACGGG